AGAAGAGAUUGGCCCAUUGAAUUGUCCACCAUGUCCCAGGCAUUUCUUCUCUCCAUCCUUCUCAUCUCCUUCGGCCCCAGCCUUCAACAACUGCAGAACCUGAAGGACUCAGAAUUUGUGACCCCUGGGGGCACAGUCACCAUAUCUUGUCGAUACGAUGGUGGGAAUCUUGGGGAUGGCAACUACCCUUGGUGGUCCCAGCAGUUCCCUAGGGAUAAACCUCGAGCUUUGAUCUAUGCAACCAGUUCCAGACCAUCGGGGGUUCCAGCCCGUUUCUCUGGGUCCAGAUCUGGGACUACAGGAUCUUUGACCAUCACUAAUGCAGAGGCUGGAGACGAGGCAGAUUAUUACUGUGCUAGCUGGAGUGGUGGUUUGUUGCACAGUGGCCCCAGCCUUCAACAACUGCAGAACCUGAAGGACCCAGAAUUUGUGGCCCCUGGGGGCACAGUCACCAUAUCCUGUCGAUAUGAUGGUGGAACCCUUGGGAAUGGCAACUACCCUUGGUGGUCCCAGAAGGUACCUGGGAAGAAACCUCAAACUUUGAUCUUUGCAACCAGUACCAGAGCAUCGGGGGUUCCAGCCCGUUUCUCUGGUUCCAGAUCAGGGAAUGUGUUGUCCUUGACUAUCACUGGGGCUCUGCUUGAAGACGAAGCGACCUACUAUUGUUGCAUCUGGACGGGUAGUCAGUUACACAGCGAUUGA